AAAAAAUUAAUUGAGUCGGAGCCGAUCAGAAGCGAUGACCUUUGCCAUCCCUGGAGUUAGCUUUGGGAAUUAGGACUGGAAUAAUACUAUAACAGCAUCUCCUUCAACGUUUGCGUCGUUGAAACGCACCGUUUCUUUGUACUUCUGGACUCGCUCUACCCGCGAGAGAUUGAGGCUGUGCUCUGAUGGCGGAGAAACCCCAACCAGUGCGCGUACUGUACUGUCCAAUUUGCAGUUUUCCCGCUGAGUACUGUGAAUUCGGCCCUGAUUUCGAAAAAUGCAAGCCCUGGUUGAUCCAAAACGCCCCUGACCUUUACCCCGAUCUCGUCAAAGAGGCAAAUCUCAAGGAAGCUAACAAGGUCGCUGAGCAGUUACAAUCCGCCAGCAUCUCAUCCAGCGGCGGUGACGGUGCUACUCUUUCAGGUUACAUAUUUUUAGCUAUUCAAAUGAUCCUCGGACAGUUUUGUUUUAAUUUUUAUAGAAGUUCUUUUUUUCGUUGGAAGGAAUUAGAUAGGAUUUGAAUUUGAUUUACAAUUGUUACUAUAGGGAUUGUUUAGCCUUUAUUACAUGAUGAGCAUGGCUGUAAUGUGCUGCAGUUAAGGAGUUAUGUUGAUAUGCUUUGAUAAGUUAGCUAGUUAAAGUCUUCUCUCUAUUGUCAAAUUGUAUUUCAAAUUGUCCUAGCUGUGGUGAUUAACUUUUGGGUGAUGUCUGUGUUGUGGCCCUUUGUUACUCUGGUGUCUGUGGGUUGCAGGGGCUGCUUCUGCCCCCAAGGAAGAAGUAAAACGUCUUCCUGGAGGGAAGAUAAAAAAGAAAGUAAGAAUCUGGAAUUAUCUCCCUCUUGGUUUAAAUGUAUAACUGAAUUUGCUUAAUUGCCUUAAAUCAGUCACAUUAGUUUUUAAUAGUUUCAAAAUUUUACAUGAUAUUAAGUAAUCAUUUAUGCAUUGAACCUUUUCUUUUUAGGAGAAGCAAGAAGUUGUUAUUGAAAAGGUCACACGUAACAAGCGGAAGUGUAUCACCACUGUUAAAGGGCUGGACCUGUUUGGUGUUAAACUUAGCGAUGCAUCAAAAAAACUUGGGAAAAAGUUUGCUACUGGAGCCUCUGUUGUUAAGGGUCCAACUGAGAAGGAGCAGAUUGAUGUUCAAGGAGACAUAUCCUAUGACAUUGUGGACUUCAUUACGGAGACCUGGCCUGAUGUAAAAUAUUCAUAUUUCUCUCUCCUAUUUAAAUUAUGUGUUGGGCUUGUCUUUGGUUAAAUUCUUACCUUUACAAACUUAACCAUAAUUUUGCUUAGAUACUUCCUUCUUUGGUAGACCAUUUUAUCAAAAGAAAUUCUGCUUGAACUAGUGUGAAAUACAUAUGAGAACCAUCAUUUAUUGCUGCCACUAUUUUUCAUGCAUACCAUAUUUAAGUUCUCUCAACAUUGAUUCUUGAUAAGACAUGCCUUUGACAAACCUAAAACCUUAAGAGAGAAACUCUGGGAAAAGUUAGCAGUUAGGAACAUGCAGUUGUGGAAUUUUAGAAUUUUGCUGUUAUAUCUCUCUGAGUGUGUACCGUGUAGAAUUUUUGGAGUUUUGGGGAUGGGAAGCAUGAUAAUUGUUCCAUUCCGGCUGAUCCAGAAUUUUUCUGUUACAUAAAGAAGGGAUCGAUUCAACAAAAAUAAUGGAGAAGUCAAAUAAAUGAUGGCUUAAAUAGAGUAGAAAGUGUAGCAAGAAGUUAGAGUGGACUAGAGUAUUUGAAAAUUUGAGUAGAGGUUGGUAGAGGUAGUUAGAAAUGGUGGGAAUAGUUAUAGCAGAUGUAAUCAGCUAUAUAAAUAACUGCAUUGUAGCUGGAGAAAGGCAUUCUAUCGAGAUUACCAAUCAACUUAUAUUUUCUUUCUUUCUUUCUUCUCUAUUCUCUUCUCUCUGUACUCUCUAGAUUCUGUUCUUUCUUUCUUUAUUCUUCUUAUUUUCUUCAUAUUUCUUUUGUAACUUCUCUGUUAGAAUUCCCAAUCCCAACAGUUUCUUCUCAAUAAGGAAAACAAAAUGCAGGGUAUCUCAUUUUUUACUUUCUGGGUACUUUUGUUGAAACAUAAGUUUAUGGCCAUUUUGUUUCCUUCAUUGAUUCAAGAAAAUGUUGAAGCGAAAGAGUUCAUUGAAGGAAGUGCAACAUUCCUUAGUUAAGUAGUGAAUUCUUUGGUUUUUGUUAAGAUUUAAGAAUAAG
rnacentral:misc_RNA from 1 species